rnacentral:rRNA from 1 species
ACACAUGCAAGUCGAACGAGCGAGAGAGAGCUUGCUUUCUCGAGCGAGUGGCGAACGGGUGAGUAACGCGUGAGGAACCUGCCUCAAAGAGGGGGACAACAGUUGGAAACGACUGCUAAUACCGCAUAAGCCCACGGUGCCGCAUGGCACAGAGGGAAAAGGAGCAAUCCGCUUUGAGAUGGCCUCGCGUCCGAUUAGCUAGUUGGUGAGGUAACGGCCCACCAAGGCGACGAUCGGUAGCCGGACUGAGAGGUUGAACGGCCACAUUGGGACUGAGACACGGCCCAGACUCCUACGGGAGGCAGCAGUGGGGAAUAUUGCACAAUGGGGGAAACCCUGAUGCAGCGACGCCGCGUGGAGGAAGAAGGUCUUCGGAUUGUAAACUCCUGUUGUUGGGGAAGAUAAUGACGGUACCCAACAAGGAAGUGACGGCUAACUACGUGCCAGCAGCCGCGGUAAAACGUAGGUCACAAGCGUUGUCCGGAAUUACUGGGUGUAAAGGGAGCGCAGGCGGGAAGACAAGUUGGAAGUGAAAUCUAUGGGCUCAACCCAUAAACUGCUUUCAAAACUGUUUUUCUUGAGUAGUGCAGAGGUAGGCGGAAUUCCCGGUGUAGCGGUGGAAUGCGUAGAUAUCGGGAGGAACACCAGUGGCGAAGGCGGCCUACUGGGCACCAACUGACGCUGAGGCUCGAAAGUGUGGGUAGCAAACAGGAUUAGAUACCCUGGUAGUCCACACCGUAAACGAUGAUUACUAGGUGUUGGAGGAUUGACCCCUUCAGUGCCGCAGUUAACAC